rnacentral:tRNA from 1 species
GGGGUUGUGGCUCAUCGGUGAGUGCUCACCUAACACGUGCAAGGCCCUGGGUUCAAUCCUCAGCACCACA